rnacentral:rRNA from 1 species
UAAUAUAUCGGAACGUGCCCUGGAGUGGGGGAUAACGCAGCGAAAGUUGCGCUAAUACCGCAUACGAUCUAAGGAUGAAAGCAGGGGACCUUCGGGCCUUGUGCUCCUGGAGCGGCCGAUAUCUGAUUAGCUAGUUGGUGGGGUAAAGGCCUACCAAGGCAUCGAUCAGUAGCUGGUCUGAGAGGACGACCAGCCACACUGGAACUGAGACACGGUCCAG